ensembl:lncRNA
UAUGGAUUCAGCAACACCUGUGACAUGCAUUUUACACCAACUAAAAAGGGCACAGAAAUCACAACACAGAAAAAAGAAAAAGCUAGUUUUGCCUUCGUCCUUCUGGGAAAGCCGAGGGGUGUGGAAGUCCUGAAGAGGACAACAAGACAGAGAGAAGAAGAAAGGAAAGAAGACCGCAGCGGGAGUAAGUGCACUGGAAAGAGAGGGUGGGUGAUCGUGAGGCAAUCAGUAAUGAGUACAGCUGUUCUCUUCAGAUAACACUCCUCCAAUGCCACCCUAACCAGCAUGGCCAUCUCUGCCACCGUGUCUUGGGACACAGACAGCCCACACUUCCCAUGGACCGUGGGAAACGCAUGAGGCUUUCCAUGUUCCAUGUCUAGUGUGGGGGGGCAUUGGGAACGCAUGAGGCAAGGGAGGUGUCAUUUAAAGCCCCUGGAGUGGAACGAGGCACAGCCUCACCUCACAACUGAGGAAACACUGCUGUCAGGAUUAGAGUCACCUGAGCAUACUAGGGCACAAGAGAGAGAGAGGGGAGAUGCAGCCAUGCAGAGAAGGAUUGAUGAAGCAGGCUCCAUGGAAUCAAUACUCUUUAGUCUUCAUCAAUGAGGGAAAAGAAGAGUAAAGAAUGAUUGAUGAGGCAGGCUCCAUGGAAUCAAUACUCUUUAAUCUUCAUCAAUGAGGAAAAGAAGAGUAAGUGAGACAAAUAGUUUAUAUGCAUCUUCAAAGGCAUCUCUUCAUUAGGAAACCAUAUAGACAAGGACAGGAGUGCAUUCGGCCAUCCCUUAAGUGAGAUUGAGAGGAGGAGGAGGAGGAGGAGGAGGAGGAGGAGGAGGAGUGAGAUACUUGGAGAGAUAACAGAAGAGCAUGUCUGAAGAGAGAGGUAAGGCGCAUGUCUGAAGAGAGAGGUAAGGCGCAUGUCUGAAGAGAGAGCAUGUCUGAAGAGAGAGGUAAGGAGCAUGUCUGAAGAGAGAGGUAAGGCGCAUGUCUGAAGAGAGAGAGGUAAGGCGCAUGUCUGAAGAGAGAGAGGUAAGGCGCAUGUCUGAAGAGAGAGAGGUAAGGCGCAUGUCUGAAGAGAGAGGUAAGGCGCAUGUCUGAAGAGAGAGCAUGUCUGAAGAGAGAGAGGUAAGGAGCAUGUCUGAAG